CGUGGGUAACCUACCCAUCAGAGGGGGAUAACACUUGGAAACAGGUGCUAAUACCGCAUAACAGUUUAUGCCGCAUGGCAUAAGAGUGAAAGGCGCUUUCGGGUGUCGCUGAUGGAUGGACCCGCGGUGCAUUAGCUAGUUGGUGAGGUAACGGCUCACCAAGGCCACGAUGCAUAGCCGACCUGAGAGGGUGAUCGGCCACAUUGGGACUGAGACACGGCCCAA
rnacentral:rRNA from 1 species